UAGAACAAUUUUCUUUUGUUCUGGAGGUAUGCAUAGACGGAGGAGUCACCUGUGCUCCGACUCGGCUUCAGUUGCGGGGAAAGAACAGCGCCGUCCGGAUCGCGUCACAGAAGUCCUGUCGUGUUCUCCUACGCGGUGACGAGCCUCUGGAUCGACGAAGAACGAGUUAACGAAGAUGUUUAAUAAUCGAGUCCUCAAGAGAGAACUAUCAUCAUCCUUGCAAAUUCUGAUGUUGAUGGCCCUCGGCAGCGUGCUCAGUUCCACCUGCACUUUCAUCCUCUUGUCACCCCCUGUCCCUGAGCGCAGGUUGUAUGAAGUGAAAAGAAACUCAGCGAGAGACAGGCUGCGAGAACAGCAUGAAGCCUUUCACAAAGACGAGAGCGCACAAGCAGAAAAACUUGCAGAACAAGUGCGGAUCUUGUGCCUCGUCAUGACAAUGGAGUCCAACCACGAGAAGAAGGCGGUUCACCUUAAAAACACUUGGGGAAAAAGAUGCAACAAACUCAUCUUCAUGAGCACAAAGGACGAUCCGCUGCUUGGAGCCAUCGACGUGGAUGUCCCGGAGGGGAAGAAGUACCAGUGGGGGAAGGCCAAGGCCUCUCUCAAGCACGCGUUCGACCAUCAUUCCCACGCCUUUGACUGGGUCUUCGUGGCACAAGAGGACACUUACGCCAUCAUAGAGAACCUCCGCUACAUGCUCUCGGUGUACGACCCAGAGGAUCCCAUUUUCUUCGGCUCCAGAAUCAAAUCGCAGGCAAAGCAAGGAAGCGUAAGUCGAAAUGCUGGAUACGUUCUCAGUAAAAGUGCACUGAGAAAAUUCGUUACAGAAGCGAUGACUGAUAGCACAAAAUGCAACGCAAAGUUAGAAGGUUCUGAAGAAAGAGAAAUAGGGGAAUGCCUUGAGAACGUCGGGGUCAAGGCGGGUGACUCGAGAGACAGCCUGGGUCGCGGUCGCUUUUUCCCGUGCAAACCCGAUACGCUCGUUGGGGGCAAGAUACCACAGGCGUACAAGGAGACCGCCUUUUACGCCCCGAGUGCGGGCUUAAAUUGCUGUUCGGACAUGGCUAUCUCUUUCUACAACAUCAACGGGAAAAAGAUGUACGAAUACGAAUACUUUUUCUACCACACGAGACCCUACGGAAUCAAGCAUACAUUCCCAGUCCCUGCGGAGAUGCCGCUCAGUGCAGCCAGCCGGUGAAUGUGCAGUAGGAUGUGGAAAUGGUACCAGCGGAUAAUCGAGCAGUGAUCAGGCUAAUUACGCAAGGAUCAAGCUAAGGCCCAGUCUAAACAGUGGAAGCACUUUGACACCACGGCCCAAAAAGGCGUGUUACACCUUGGCAGCCAAGGUCAUGUUCAGUAUCUUUCGGGACCAACAUGGAAGAGCAGUGAUGUAUUUGCUGACAGAAGGUACCGCAAUUACAGGGCUGACUUCGCUUCACUGCUACUAAGACUGU
rnacentral:misc_RNA from 1 species